rnacentral:lncRNA from 1 species
AGGCUGAUCAAGGAAAUUUUUCAUUCCUAAUUUUGUGUUGAUUAACGAGCUCUUCAUUCAUUCAAGAAAUACUCAUUGAGCACGUGCUAUGUGCCAUGCACUCUUUUAGGUGCUUGGGAUACAGCAGUGAACAAGAAAGGCAAAGAUGCCUGCCCGCCUGGAGCUUACCCUCUAGGAAGAAAUAACUUUUUGAGUGAUUAUUCACUGUGCCAGCGUUUGGAACGACAGUAAAAAGGGCUAAGACUGGCCCUCUAGGGACUCACAGUUAAUGGAUGCGGCUUCCCAAUUAGAUCUUUCCAUAGGGAGAGAAUGGUUGAUUAACUAAUUCAAAUACCCAGUCCCUUUGGCACACCAACGAUUAAUUAGUUUCAUUCUGGUCUCUUGUGAGUUUGGCCAGCUUGAGGCAGUCCCCAACCCUCAGCCAUGAGUGUGCUGUCAAGAUUGGGUUUCCAGAGCCAAACCACUUAUGACUAGACCCUGGAAAGUGCUGACCUCAUAAAGUUAAUUUUACUUAGCUACAGCAGGCCUAACCAUCCUUCUUUAAUUCCUCUGUUACACCCCUUUCUCUCUCUAACCUCAACAGAGAAGUUCAUUAUGUCAUCCAUAAUCAAACUACCUCUUGCAGAGCACACGUAAGAGCAGAUAAAAGUAAGUUAUUCACACAUUCAUUCCUCAAGUAUUUCUUGAGAUCUAUUGUAUAAUAGAUACUGUGCCUUGAGCAGAAUGUGGCAGCUUCUCUCUGCAGGAGCUCAAAGUCUGCUGAUGACAGGGCACGGAGUAGAAAGCUCUCCUGAUGGUCAGAGUGGCAUCUAGCCCAGGAUCUGCCUCUGCCUCCGGAGAGUGACCUCUGCUCCCGGAGCCUUAAUUACCUCAUUUGCAGUCAAGAAGCGGGACUCGUUGAUCUCCUGGCUUUCUGGUUUACUAUCUCUGUGUUAGGAAGAAACUGUCAUCUUUUCUCGGCAGCGGGGGGCAGUCACGGGCGGGCAGUGUGCCAGGCGCGCCUGCCUUCCUUCGCCAGCAAGCGCUGGACUGGCACGAUUGAUAACCGAGCAGGGCUUUCAAGCCCUGGCAACACAGUGUCCGAGGAGUGUCGUGAGCCCAGCCAGCGGACCCUGGGCGGAGGCAACCUCGAGUCCGCAUGGGAGAACUGUGCUGCUCCUGGCGGAUUCCUGCCCUUUCCUGAGGCUGGAAUCACGCCGUCAGCGUCUGGGUCCGGAGGGAAAACAGCUUCUGCACGAACAGCAGUUUCGCUCCUCUCAGUUACGGCUCUCCUCCAAUUCCACGUUCUUAAAGGAGGAGCAGAGAGGAGGAUCCUUUUCCUUGGAUUCUAACCACCCAACAGUUAGCCCCUUUCCUGUUCUCUGACCCCCUGCAAAUACACCCCCCCACACACCCCACACAUACACACAUGUACAUCACACACACACACACUCACACACAUACCCCUCCUUAAACCAACAUUAUAGCAAAACGAUAUGUUUUCUUUAUUCAUUCUCUUGUUCAAUAAUUAUUUAUUAAGACUCUACUAAGUGCCAGGCCUCUUCCAGAUCCUGGGGAUUCUUUGGUGAACAAAAGUUACCCAGUCCUGCCUUCACAGAGCUUACUUUUUUGCGGGGAGAAAGACUAUGAACAUAUGAACAAAUAAAUACAUAAUACAAUAUCUGGUUGUGAUAAAU